rnacentral:rRNA from 1 species
CCUACGGGUGGCUGCAGUGGGGAAUAUUGGACAAUGGGCGAAAGCCUGAUCCAGCCAUGCCGCGUGUGUGAAGAAGGCCUUCGGGUUGUAAAGCACUUUCAGUGGGGAAGAAAGCCUUGGGGCUAAUACCCUCUAGGAAGGACAUCACCCACAGAAGAAGCACCGGCUAACUCCGUGCCAGUAGCCGCGGUAAUACGGAGGGUGCGAGCGUUAAUCGGAAUUACUGGGCGUAAAGCGCGCGUAGGCGGUCUGAUAAGCCGGUUGUGAAAGCCCCGGGCUCAACCUGGGAACGGCAUUCGGAACUGUCAGGCUAGAGUGCAGGAGAGGAAGGUAGAAUUCCCGGUGUAGCGGUGAAAUGCGUAGAGAUCGGGAGGAAUACCAGUGGCGAAGGCGGCCUUCUGGACUGACACUGACGCUGAGGUGCGAAAGCGUGGGUAGCAAACAGGAUUAGAUACCCCGGUAGUC